rnacentral:rRNA from 1 species
UACGUAGGGUGCAAGCGUUGUCCGGAUUUAUUGGGCGUAAAGAGCUCGUAGGCGGUUUGGCAAGUCGGGUGUGAAACCUCCAGCUCAACCUGGAGACGCCACCCGAGACUGCUAUGACUUGAGUCUGGUAGGGGAUCACGGAAUUCCUGGUGUAGCGGUGAAAUGCAAUAGAUAUCAGGAGGAACACCGGUGGCGAAGGCGGUGAUCUGGGCCAGUACUGACGUGAGGAGCGAAAGCGUGGGGAGCGAACAGG